AUCCUGAGCCAAGGGUCUAUUGAAAACGGCCUCUCAACCACGAUAAAGUAGGGGUAAGUCUGCGUACACACUACCUUCCUCAGAUCCCACUAUGCGGGAUUAUACUGAGUAUGUUAUUGUUAUUGUUGUUGUAUAUAACAUUUAUUAUAAAAUAAAAAAUACAUAAUAGAAUAAUAAAAAAUAAGAAAAAUAUUCUAAAUAGAGAAAAAAUAAUAGAGAAAAUUUCCAAUACAUCUAGUAAUAAUAUUACACAUAAAAAGAGUGAAUAUUUUUAUUUAAAAACGUAACAUAAAAACAAUUCAAAGUUACAAAAAAUGCAUAAAAAUUAAUUUAUAAAAUAUGUAAAAUACAUAAUGUUAUUAGUAAAACAUAAAGAUGAGGAACACCAAUAACCAUGACGCACCUCCAUCGACACAACCAACAUAAGUGAUUCCAACCGCCAACCAACAAGUAUCAACCAACCGUUGUCGGUCACUAUCGCACGACCACCGUAACUUUCCAACACCGCCACCGCCAACAACCACACACCAUUACUCUUGACAUGUUCUAAGCAUGGGGAUAGCACUAGACAUGGUGGGAUGUUGCACGACAUGGUAUGACAUGGUACGACAUGGUGCGACAUGGUGCAACACAAUGGAACCUGUGUGAGUUAGAUGGUGAACUAUGCUACAGCGAGGCGAAGUUAGAGGAAACUCUGGUGGAGUCCUGCAGCGAUACUAACAUGAAAAUCGUUCGUCUGACUUGGGUAAAGGGGCGAAAGACUAAUCGAAUCAUCUAGUAGCUAGUUUCCUUCAAGUUUCCCUCAGGAUAGCUGGAGCUCGCGUGUGAUUUCUAUCGGAUAAAGCCAAUGAUUAGAGUCAUCGGGCGCACAACGCACUCGGCCUAUUCUCAAACUUUAAAUAGGUAGGACGGUGCGCCUGCUUUGUUGAGCAGCACCACGAAAUCAAGCGCUCCAAGUGGGCCAUUUAUUGAUAAGCAGAACUGGUGAAGUGGGAAGAACCGGAGGUUGGGUUAUAGUGCCAAGAUGCACACUGACCUAAAUCACAGAAAGGGUGCUGGUCGAUUAAGACAGCAGGACGGUGGUCAUGGAAGUCGAAAUCCGCUAAGGAGUGUGUAACAGCUCGCCUGCUGAAUCAACUAGCCCUGAAAAUUGGUGGCUCUUAAGUGUACGACCUACACACGGUUGUCGGGGCAAGUGCUGGGUCCCAAUAAGUAGAAGGGUGUGGCGGCCGCGACAAAAUCUUGGGCGUGAGCCUAGGCAGAGCAACCGUCGGUAUAGAUCUUAGUGGUAGUAGCAAAUAUUGAAAUGAGAAUGUUGAAGGCCGAAGAGGGGAAAGGUUCUAUGUGAACGGCACUUGCAAAUUGGUUAGUCGAUCCUAAAGGUUGGGGGAACCCCGAUAGAUAGUGCAUUUUCGCGAAUACCGAAAGGGAAUCGGGUUAAAAUUCCUUAACAAAGAUGUGGAAGGUAGGGUCCCGGGCUUGAAAAGCAUUACACGUCGCAUGGUGUCGGUGCUCCCCCGGCAGCCGUCAAAAAAUUCAGAGGAUUGAGUCAUGCCCGUUUGUACUCGUAACUACAUCAGGUCUCCAAGGUGAACAACCUCUGGUCGAUGGAAUAAUGUAGGCGAGGAAAGUCGGCAAAAUGUAUCUGUAACUUCGGGAAAAGGAUUGGCUCCGAGGGCUGGGCAUGGGGGUCCCAAUCCCGGACUCCAUGAAUACUCGAUGGAGUGCUCGAGCUGCUCUUGCGGUGAGAGCAUGUUGCCACAUGCUGAAUGGACUGGGAAUGGUUCCUUCAGGGGCAUUCCUCGGGCGUCGAAUAGCUAACCCAAAACUGGUACAGACAAGGGGAAUUCGAUUAUUUAAUUAAAAUAAAGCAAUGCGAUAGUCCAUGCGGAUGUUUGCGCAAUGUGAUUUCUGCCGAGUACUCUUAAUGUCACAGUCAAGAAAUUCAACCAAGCGGGGGUAAAUGGGGGGACUAACUAUCACUCUCUUAAGGGAGCCGAAUGUCUCGUUAUCUAAUGAAUGAUGCGCAAGAAUGAAUUAACGAUUUUCCCACUAUCCUUAUCUACUAUCUAGCGAAACCACAACCAAGGGAACGGGCUUGGCAGAAUCAACAGAGAAAGAAGAUCCUAUUGUGCUUGACUCUAGUUCGACUUUAUGAAAUGACUUGAGAGGUGUAGUAUAAGUGGGAGUGCAAAGGUGAAAGUGGUAUACCACUCCUUUUAACAUUAUUUUACUUCUUCUGGAAUCAGAAGCGGGGCACUGCCCCUCUUUUUUGACCCAAGUCUUACUUUUAGGCCGAUUCGGGCAGAAGACAUUGUCAAGUAGGGAUUUUGGCUGGGGCUGCACAUUUGUUAAAAUAUAACGCAUGUGUCCUAAGAUGAGCUCAACGAGAAGAGAAAUCUUGUAUGGAACAGAAAGGUAAAAGCUCGUUUGAUUAUGAUUUCCAGUAUGAAUACGAACCAUGAAAGCAUGUCCUAACGAUCCUUUAGACCUUCACAAUUCGAAGCUAGAGGUGUCAGAAAAGUUACAACAUGGAUAACUGGCUUGUGGCAGCCAAGUGUUAAUAGCAACAUUGCUUUUUGAUCCUUCGAUGUUGGCUCUUCCGAUCAUUACAACAACAACAACUACCCAAUAAAAUCCCACAUAGUGGGGUAUGGGGAGGGUAAUGUGUACGCAGACCUUACCCCUGCCCCGGUAGGGCAGAGAGGCUGUUUUCGAUAGACCCUCGACUCAAUACGACUGAAAUAAAGGAAAACAAGAAAAGAAAAGAAAAGAAAAGAGAAUUCAUUAGUCCAGUAAAAAUUAUUAUAGUAACAGAAGCAUAAAAAAUAAAAAUAAAAACCAAAAGAUGAAUGACAUUCAAUAACGGUAACCAGAGUCUAAGGCAUCUAAGAUAAACAAUAAGAAUAGUGUGGCUCUUCCUAUCAUUGUGAAGCAGAAUUCACUAAGUGUUGGAUUGUUCACCCACCAAUAGUGAAGGUGAGCUGGGU
rnacentral:rRNA from 1 species